GUCUCGGUAGUGUAAGGGAUAAGAGCAUUUUCCUCGGAAAGGACAAGUACGGGUUCGAGUCCCGUCCGAGACU
rfam:Haemonchus contortus, ISE/inbred ISE, WGS project CAVP01000000 data, contig: Hcontortus_24805